GAUCCUUGAUCAACGACCCAUUUCACUGCCCCACAAGAGGGGGCGACAACCACAUUCAUCUUACUGAGGGCUAGAGUUGACUUAACACUCUCAAGUUGACAUUGGGCCGGACGAUACUCACGACUACCCCACUCGUGGCUAAAGUUUUCUUAAGAUAUCCAAGGAGUUGGGCCGAACGACACUCAUCACUACCC